rnacentral:siRNA from 1 species
AUUCAAUCAAGACUUUUUUAAAGU